AUUGAACGCUGGCGGCAGGCCUAACACAUGCAAGUCGAGCGGAUGAAGGGAGCUUGCUCCUGGAUUCAGCGGCGGACGGGUGAGUAAUGCCUAGGAAUCUGCCUGGUAGUUGGGGAUAACGUCCGGAAACGGGCGCUAAUACCGCAUACGUCCUGAGGGAGAAAGUGGGGGAUCUUCGGACCUCACGCUAUCAGAUGAGCCUAGGUCGGAUUAGCUAGUUGGUGGGGUAAAGGCCUACCAAGGCGACGAUCCGUAACUGGUCUGAGAGGAUGAUCAGUCACACUGGAACUGAGACACGGUCCAGACUCCUACGGGAGGCAGCAGUGGGGAAUAUUGGACAAUGGGCGAAAGCCUGAUCCAGCCAUGCCGCGUGUGUGAAGAAGGUCUUCGGAUUGUAAAGAACUUUAAGUUGGGAGGAAGGGCAGUAAGUUAAUACCUUGCUGUUUUGACGUUACCAACAGAAUAAGCACCGGCUAACUUCGUG
rnacentral:rRNA from 1 species